UACGUAGGGUGCGAGCGUUAAUCGGAAUUACUGGGCGUAAAGCGUGCGCAGGCGGUUCGUUGUGUCGGUGGUGAAAGCCCCGGGCUUAACCUGGGAAUGGCCAUGGAAACUGGCGAACUGGAGUGUGGCAGAGGGGGGGUGGAAUUCCGCGUGUAGCAGUGAAAUGCGUAGAGAUGCGGAGGAACACCGAUGGCGAAGGCAGCCCCCCUGGGCUGACACUGACGCUCAGGCACGAAAGCGUGGGGAGCAAACAGG
rnacentral:rRNA from 1 species